rnacentral:lncRNA from 1 species
UUUAGAUUAUAAUAAAUUUCAGAAAUAAAAAAAUAAAAUUGCAAACAUGGUGAUAUGGGACAUCAAUAUUGGCAUGCUAUACCAUCAAGAGUGGUAUGAGCCAUUGAAAUUGCAAAACAAGCACAAGUUUGUGGGGAUGACAGGAAGUCCCUAGUAUUUGAAGAUGAUUAAGUGAAAUAAACAGCCAAUUCUCUAAUAAGAUUAUCCCAUAUUUCCCUACCCACUUGAGCAAGAUAUUCACAAUCUUCAUUAAGAUUUCAAAUUCAAUAUAAGUGGAAUCUUUGAUUAAAUCAACACCACCACCAUCAAUCUCAUCUUCCACCUAUCUAAUUGCUUGUCAGCUACCAUUAACACUGAGUAUGUUCAUUGUGGGAUGCCUUAAAACGACAUUGAUAUGACAGGUCCUUGGCUGUCCAUCCUCAGUUAGCAUCCGAUCAUGCAUAUGCCGCUAAUUUCACCCUGGGAAAAUCAUGUGCUUUCCCCACAAUAAAACAAUUAAAUUCUGAUAUAGAGUAAAUAAUAAAUUUUAAAAAAUUUAUUGGGUAAAAACUCUAUUAAAGCUUUUAUACUUAUUUAUAGGGAGAAAGUGGUGUGGUGCAUAGACAUGAAUUGGGUCAGCACCGACACAGCCACCAUGUAUUUGUGGUUUGGUGAAAGGCAGCAUCUAUCAAAGAAUGUGACUUCUCUCACGGUCUUGGACAUUGUAGACGUAGCUCCAAGUUCCAAUAACUCCCAAAUGGAUCACUUUUAC